CCCAAUCCUGCUUCUUGUAGCCAAUGGCGUAGUCAAGACUCCGACUUAGGGGUGCAAUUUAUUUUAAAUAAUAAUAACUUAUUAUUAUUAUAUUAGUGGAAAAAAAAGCGCCAACAUACUUGUUUAUCCGUUUUUCUACUGCGGAUAAUUAUAUAUUUAUAUAUUUAUUUUAUUACAUCUAAUUAUAAGUUUUUUUUAUUUUGUAAAUAACAUCAAUUUAAACUUAUUUUAUAGUGUCUAAGUUACUCCCAUUGUAUUGAGAUUGUUCUUGUUCUUCGACGGAGAGAUUGUUCUCAUUAUAAUGGAUUCUAUCUAUUUUUUAAUAAAAAAUUUAUAGAAUUUAAAUGAAAUAUAUAAUUGAAAAAAAAAAAUAUCACACCAAAAUUAUGUAUUUCCUUUAAAUAUAGGUGUGCAUGUGUGUGAAUACACAUGUAUGUGGAGAAACAAAUUUUUAUUUGAUAAAGUAAUUAUUAGAAUUAUACAAUUUUAAUCUAUAUAAAUAUUUUAAUAAAUAUCAUCUUAUUCGUUUUAUACAUUAUAUAUGUAUCUACUCUAGACAACAAAGUAUCAAAUAUCAUUCUUUAAGAGAUAAUUAUACAUAAACACCCUUAUUCCUAUACCACCUUUGUACCACUCCAUGUGGCAUUUUAUUUUAUUUUUCUUAUUUUCUUGUUUCUCUUUCCUGUCUCUCUUUUCCCUUUUCCGGUCUCUCCUUCUACAAAAAAAUAAACUAUGGAUUCAACCACCAAAACGAAAUCUUACUGAAGAAUCCAGCCUUGGAAAAUGGGGCUAUAUUGCUAAACCAACAUCAUUGAGCUGACUAUUUAAUGGAACAUAAAAGCUUUCACCAAUUUCUUCUUCAACAUCUUCACAUGUACAAGCUUGAUAUGUGCAUAAAGAACAUAAUAUACCAGAAACAGAAUAUGAAAACAGAAAACAUCCACAACCAUGUUCUUGUUAGUUGUUUUAUCUGAAGACUUACAAUUAAACUUACUAACAACCACGUAAACCAUCACCACCAUGGUGGAUCUCAGUCGAAACAGCGAGAGCUAAGUAGACGUGAGAGGAGUUCGACGACGACGGAAAGACAGAAUCACGUCAGCGAAGGUAAUGCCGACGACGGAGAGUGGUGGUGGCUGAUCGGAGGAAAAGGGAGUGGUGAGGUUGGAUUGAGAGAGAAAGAGCGGAUGAGAGUUCAGAGAGAGAGAGAGAGAUAGAAGGGGUGAAAGAAGUCACAUGAGGAGAUGGGUGAAGGAAGAGAGUGAAUGGACAAAAUUACCCUUAAUAAAAUUAUUUAAAAAUGCCACAUGGGAGUGUGUAGAAGGAUGUAUGCCAUGUAUGGAUGUUUGUAUAUCAUCACUCUUCUUUAAGUAAGGACAGGUGGCGUUUAACCUGGGAAUGAGGAGUUUUUUCCCACCUUGGGAAAGCUCCCUUUUUCAGGAUAGGUGGCAGUUGUCAACCUGUUCCAAAUAAAAAAAAAAAACUGAAAUUUGUUUUUUAAUGUUAUUUUUUUUAGGCACCGUACCAUACACUCUCCCCUCUCUCUUUCUCCUCUUUUUACUCUCUCUCUACGCACACUUCUUGUUUCUUCCUAAUGUUCAUACAUUCAGAUCUUCUUCUUCCCAGUAAUCAAAUUUUAUCUCAAUAAUCCUAAUGAAAACAACUAAAUCAAAUUCCUUCAAUAAAGUAGGUAUGUUGUUGGUACUAAUAAAAACAGUGAAAUCAAAUUCCAUCAUCAAGUUCUUGUGAAUUGAUGUUUUUACUUAUUGUGAAUCAUCACAAGAGUUAAUUGUUGAAAAGCUUUAAACUUUCAUCGUAGUCAAACUCAGCAAAGGGGAAAAAGCUUAACCUGUCUCACUAUUGUUCAAGAACAUGUUUGUUCAUAAGUCAUAACCACCAUUUUUCUUUUCAUUACUGAGAAUUUAACAAUGGUAGAUACAAAUUUUGUCAAACUUUGUUGAUCGAACACGCAAAUUCGUAGAUCUAGGACAAAUAUCGUUGUCAUUAGAAGAAUUAUAAGAUUUUUGAUGUGUAACGAAUUAGUUUGUAAGUUGUGUCUGAGACACAGAUGGUGAUGAUUGCUAUAGAUCUGAUUUAUUGAACAUAAAAUUGGAAUUUUGCAUUUUUUUAAAAAUAUUUUUAUGGCAUUUUCUAUGUCACUGAUCCAAGAUGUAUUUUCGUGUUCUUUGAUGGUAUUAUUAUAUGACAAAG
rnacentral:lncRNA from 1 species